UGAAUUAUAGCUCAAUGGUAAAUCAUUCCACUCAUAAUAGAUGUAUCUCAGUUCAAUUCUGAGUAAUUCAA
rnacentral:tRNA from 1 species